UACGUAGGAGGCGAGCGUUGUCCGGAGUUACUGGGCGUAAAGGGUGCGCAGGCGGCGGUUCGCGUGGCGAGAUGAAAUCUCCUGGCUUACCUGGGAGGAUGGUCGCCAGACGGGAUCGCUUGAGGGUCGGAGAGGGGCGUGGAAUUCCGGGUGGAGCGGUGAAAUGCGUAGAGAUCGGGAAGAACACCCGUGGCGAAGGCGGUUCUCUGGGACGGUACUGACGCUGAGACGCGAAAGCGUGGGGAGCGAACAGG
rnacentral:rRNA from 1 species